UCAAAUCCUAAUCAAAUCCUAAAUAAGUUCUAAACAAACUCUAGUCAAAUCUUAGUCAGACCAUAGUCAAACACUAAUUGAACCUUAAUCAAAUCCUAAACAAAUCCUAACCAAAUCCUAAUCAAAUCCUAAAUAAAUCUUAGUCAAAUCCUAAAAAAGCUUUAAUCAAAUCCUAGACAAAUCAUAAUCAAAUCCUAAUCAAAUCCUAAAAAAAUCCUAACCAAAUCAUAAUCAAAUCUUAAAUAAAUCCUAGUCAAAUCCUAAAUAAAACCUAAUCAAAUCCUAUACAAAUCUUAAUCAAAUCCUAGACAAACCUUAGUAAAAUCCUAAACAAACCUAACCAAACCUUAAUUAAUCUCAAGUAAUUCCUGUAGUAGAUUUAAACCUCAAUAACUAAUGAAUGAACUUAUAAUUUUAACUCAAAUUUUGUACACCUCUGAACAAUUAAG
rnacentral:lncRNA from 1 species